CUGAGAACCUGCUGUGGUGAUUCAAAAAUCAACCCAGUCCAAUUGCAAGUGUGAAAUGAGAAUUAAGAGCAGCUCCCAUGUUCUUGGUGCAGCCAAGUAAACACAUCAAGAGGGCUCUGCAUCAGCAAGACCCAAACACCUGAGAAGCAACUAAGGAAAGGAAAGGAGUGGGAGAGGGCAAUUACUGCUAAGUAGGAUGCUUGAGUGUGGUGAUGGUCCUAAUGGGUUUGAUUAAAAGUCAAACGUGAUUAAUUUGAGCAAUUUGAUGGGCAGAGAAGUGUCACAGAGGGGUCUGGUAUGUCCUGGUGUGACUGCUGGUCUCACUGCGUGACAUCAGGUUGCUCAAGGCCUCAUGCUGGAACAUCUCCCAGGACAGAGAUCCCCACUGGCAACAGCUUCCCAUGGCUCAUGCCACAAUCAGUGCACCCACAGGAACAGCCCAUGCUGACCUUGCUUUUCCCUUUCAUGUUCAUAUAAGCAGCUAUAAGUUUUCUAAGCAAAACAUUCUGGCUACAGAAGACUGAAGUGUCAAGCAACACACUCUUCUCCUGAAGGCAUAGUCAUUAUGAACAGCAGCAUUUCAUACUCCUAAGAGCAUUAGCAUGCAAAACACUACCAAAAAUAAGAUCCCCAUUUAUUGCAAAGCAGGUUGUGCUGUCCAGGUUGAUUAAUAAGAUUUCACAGAGGUAACGAGAUAAAAUUCUAACAGUGAAAAGAGGAAGAAAAGAUGUUCUGAACCACUCUUCCUUCUGUGGAGGCAUGCAGCCAUGAUGACAACAGCAGAUAAUAUUGGUACUGAGGGAUGUGUAGUUGAUUAUGGAAAGCUGUUGAUGGAUGGCCCCAACAAAUGGCUGCAAUUCUGCACUGAAAUUGAGGAAUUUAGGAGUCCCCACUCCAAAGAGCAGCGGGUCUCUUUGGAUGACACUUCUGGUAACUCACAGCCUUUGGAAGAAAACAAAGAUUGCAUGUGAUUUCAGCCCCACCAACACCAGUCCUGCUGCCUUUCAGCAAGAUAAGACAACACAGAUCUGGAAGGCUGAGAUUGAUAUCCACGACUGAAUUGGAGCACAGCAAUAACUCUCCAGCCACACUCGCCAGAGCUGAGUCCCUCUCAGAUGGAGCUGAGACUUUGCCUUGCAGCACCAACAUUCCCCCCUCUCCCCACAAAACCCACAGAUGUUCGACACCCAGACGGAGGUAUCCACACUGGGAUUUGACCAGCAGCAUAAAAAGGCAGCAGAGGCAUACAAGGCACAUGUCCAGAGAUGUCAGAACUGCUCAGCAUGCCUAGGAGAUGAAAUACACAGCAAUAAGGCUCUACAGAGCAUCUCAGGCCCAAGAUGCUCUCCCCAGAUCCAUCUACAAAGUCCUUCCUUUUGAGGAGUGCUAAGAAGUGGGGCAAAGUGAGCUGUCCUGCUCUUCAAACUAUCUGCUUUUCUGCCCUGCUCUUCAGAGGCACAGGCCAUUCAAAGCACUUCCCAAGGCAUUCACGCCUCCCAAAACACCAGUCCAGCUGGCAGCCUACGCAAAGACUCAGAGCUCAGCGACUCACUCUUUCCCCCUUGGACAGAGGGAAUCACCGAGCUUGCCCUGUCACGUUCAGACUGUGCGUCCUAUCCUGCUCUCCCCUGUGCACACAAAGCCAUGGAAACUCAGCACUGCUCUGACCACUCAUUCACCAUCACCAACAUUGUUUGAAACUGCUAAGACUCCUAAAUCCCAAAAUAAAUUGGCCUGAAUAAGCAAGCCUCCAUUCCAGACGGACCGCUGUGGGCACUAUUGUCUCUGCAGUGGGUUCCUGCGCUCAGAAACAACUGCUGCUGCAGCUCCUGGGAGCUGUGGCUGGAGGCUGAGCCCAGAGCAGCCUGCACAUUUCUCUCCCUUCAUCCGUAAGGGAAACUCACCAAGAACAACACAAGACACGUGUGGGCACAGCCAGCCAGCAGCACUGUGCUGUGCCAACGCGGCUGCUGCUGGCUCUGAUGGCCUCAGAGGAUUUACAGCACAUGGCAUCCUUCAGAUGCUUCCAACCCUACAAUCUUGAUUGCUCGGUCAGGACCUUGAGGACUUCUCCUCAGCUGGAAGCAUAGCUGGAGCUGCAGCCAUGCUACAGGUAUGAGCAAGGCCAGACAGAGGCAGCUCUGCAACAAUAAUAAACAGAGCUAAAAACAGAACGUACUCUGGAAGGGAGAAACGAAUGAGAGAGGCUGAGCAUGGGAUGUCUGUCUCCAAAAAGGAUCUGCCAUGAAAACCAAAACCGAGCGCCUUCCUUCCUGGUCAACGGCAGCAGCUGAGCAGGUAUCAAAUCACUUUUUAUUACUGAGAGGAGCUGCAUUUGUUUAAAUAAAAA
ensembl:lncRNA